rnacentral:rRNA from 1 species
ACAUUAGAUACCCGCGUAGUCCAGGGUGUAAACGCUGCAGACUUGGUGUUGGAAGCCCUUUUGGGGGCAUUCAGUGCCGGAGAGAAGUUGUUAAGUCUGCUACUUGGGAGUACGUCCGCAAGGAUGAAACUUAAAGGAAUUGGCGGGGGAGCACCGCAACGGGAGGAGCGUGCGGUUUAAUUGGAUUCAACACCGUAAACUCACCAGGGAAGACUGUUACAUGAAGGCCGAGAUGAAGACUCUGCUAGAUUUUCAG